GUAGGUGGCAAGCGUUGUCCGGAAUUAUUGGGCGUAAAGCGCGCGCAGGCGGUCCUUUAAGUCUGAUGUGAAAGCCCACGGCUCAACCGUGGAGGGUCAUUGGAAACUGGGGGACUUGAGUACAGAAGAGGAAAGCGGAAUUCCAAGUGUAGCGGUGAAAUGCGUAGAGAUUUGGAAGAACACCAGUGGCGAAGGCGGCUUUCUGGUCUGUAACUGACGCUGAGGCGCGAAAGCGUGGGGAGCAAACAGGAUUAGAUACCCUGGUAGUCCACGCCGUAAACGAUGAGUGCUAAGUGUUAGGGGGUUUCCCGCCCCCCUUAGUGCUGCAGCUAACGCAUUAAGCACUCCGCCUGGGGAGUACGGCCGCAAGGCUG
rnacentral:rRNA from 1 species